UAGCAAUACAUGGGGUGGCGAGUGGCGCACGGGUGCGUAACACGUAUGUAAUUUACCCAUAACUGGGGGAUAGCCUUCCGAAAGGAAGAUUAAUACCCCAUAAUAUAAUGAAAAGGCAUCUUUUUAUUAUUAAAACUCCGGUGGUUAUGGAUGAGCAUGCGUCUGAUUAGCUAGUUGGCGAGGUAACGGCUCACCAAGGCAACGAUCAGUAGGGGGUCUGAGAGGAUGAUCCCCCACACGGGUACUGAGACACGGACCCGACUCCUACGGGAGGCAGCAGUAAGGAAUAUUGGACAAUGGAGGCAACUCUGAUCCAGCCAUGCCGCGUGAAGGAUGAAGGCGCUACGCGUUGUAAACUUCUUUUCUACUAGAAAAAACAUUUGGUUUCGUACCGAAUCUGAUUGUACAGUAGGAAUAAGCAUCGGCUAACUUCGUGCCAGCAGCCGCGGUAAUACGAAGGAUGCAAGCGUUAUCCGGAUUUACUGGGUUUAAAGGGUGUGUAGGUGGGGUAAUAAGCCAGUGGUGAAAGCCCCCGACUCAAUCGGGGAACUGCCAUAGAUACUGUUAUUCUUGAGUGUAGUUGAGGCAGGUGGAAUAUGACAUGUAGCGGUGAAAUGCUUAGAUAUGUCAUAGAACACCAAUCGCGAAGGCAGCCUGCCAAGCUAUUACUGACACUGAAACACGAAAGUGCGGGGAUCAAACAGGAUUAGAUACCCUGGUAGUCCGCACUGUAAACGAUGAUCACUCGUUGUUGGCGAUAUACUGUCGGCGACUAAGCGAAAGCAUUAAGUGAU
rnacentral:rRNA from 1 species